GCUGGUCUGGAACUCCUGGGCUCAAGCAAUCCGCCUGCCUUGGCCUCCGAAUGCUGGGAUUACAGGCAUGAGCCACUGCCCCCAGCCAGUCAUCACUACUUUGGAGUCUCCACAACUAGCCAGGAGUCAAAAAAUUUGGCCAAAGAAGCCCCAGAACCCAGAGGAAUUGAACAUUCUUCUGCAGGACAUUGAUCCGCUGUAGGAACCAGUUCAUGAACCACAUAAUGGAAGACCAGCUCCGUGUGAGAGAGUUCCAUGGUUCGCCAGAUAAAGUCCCGAAGCCCUACAGGGCCAUAGAUUUCAAUAGGCUGUUUGGACACCACGGAGCCACUCUGCAGGCUGAUUGUGCAGAGGAGCCCAGGAAGGCCAAAGAAAUGGUCUCCAUGAAGUACACCUUGCCACCUCAACUCCUACUGUCUAAAAUGUUAACUAUCAAGUCUCUACUCUGGCCUGUGCCUGUCCGGAGGGCUCUCAUGAAGGUUCUCAUGAAAGGAAUCUCUGUACGAUCCAAGAAAAGCAAAGAAUAGCACCUGAAUUAUCUCAAAGUUUCAACACAAGACAGUAUAUAAUUACGGUUCAAUUGUACUUACCUGAAG